rnacentral:rRNA from 5 species
UUAAGCGACUAAGCGUACACGGUGGAUGCCCUGGCAGUCAGAGGCGAUGAAGGACGUGCUAAUCUGCGAUAAGCGUCGGUGAGGUGAUAUGAACCGUUAUAACCGGCGAUUUCCGAAUGGGGAAACCCAGUGUGUUUCGACACACUAUCAUUAACUGAAUCCAUAGGUUAAUGAGGCGAACCGGGGGAACUGAAACAUCUAAGUACCCCGAGGAAAAGAAAUCAACCGAGAUUCCCCCAGUAGCGGCGAGCGAACGGGGAGGAGCCCAGAGCCUGAAUCAGUGUGUGUGUUAGUGGAAGCGUCUGGAAAGGCGUGCGAUACAGGGUGACAGCCCCGUACACAAAAAUGCACAUAUUGUGAGCUCGAUGAGUAGGGCGGGACACGUGGUAUCCUGUCUGAAUAUGGGGGGACCAUCCUCCAAGGCUAAAUACUCCUGACUGACCGAUAGUGAACCAGUACCGUGAGGGAAAGGCGAAAAGAACCCCGGCGAGGGGAGUGAAAAAGAACCUGAAACCGUGUACGUACAAGCAGUGGGAGCCUCUUAAUGGGGUGACUGCGUACCUUUUGUAUAAUGGGUCAGCGACUUAUAUUCUGUAGCAAGGUUAACCGAAUAGGGGAGCCGAAGGGAAACCGAGUCUUAACUGGGCGUUAAGUUGCAGGGUAUAGACCCGAAACCCGGUGAUCUAGCCAUGGGCAGGUUGAAGGUUGGGUAACACUAACUGGAGGACCGAACCGACUAAUGUUGAAAAAUUAGCGGAUGACUUGUGGCUGGGGGGGAAAGGCCAAUCAAACCGGGAGAUAGCUGGUUCUCCCCGAAAGCUAUUUAGGUAGCGCCUCGUGAAUUCAUCUCCGGGGGUAGAGCACUGUUUCGGCAAGGGGGUCAUCCCGACUUACCAACCCGAUGCAAACUGCGAAUACCGGAGAAUGUUAUCACGGGAGACACACGGCGGGUGCUAACGUCCGUCGUGAAGAGGGAAACAACCCAGACCGCCAGCUAAGGUCCCAAAGUCAUGGUUAAGUGGGAAACGAUGUGGGAAGGCCCAGACAGCCAGGAUGUUGGCUUAGAAGCAGCCAUCAUUUAAAGAAAGCGUAAUAGCUCACUGGUCGAGUCGGCCUGCGCGGAAGAUGUAACGGGGCUAAACCAUGCACCGAAGCUGCGGCAGCGACACUAUGUGUUGUUGGGUAGGGGAGCGUUCUGUAAGCCUGUGAAGGUGGCCUGUGAGGGUUGCUGGAGGUAUCAGAAGUGCGAAUGCUGACAUAAGUAACGAUAAAGCGGGUGAAAAGCCCGCUCGCCGGAAGACCAAGGGUUCCUGUCCAACGUUAAUCGGGGCAGGGUGAGUCGACCCCUAAGGCGAGGCCGAAAGGCGUAGUCGAUGGGAAACAGGUUAAUAUUCCUGUACUUGGUGUUACUGCGAAGGGGGGACGGAGAAGGCUAUGUUGGCCGGGCGACGGUUGUCCCGGUUUAAGCGUGUAGGCUGGUUUUCCAGGCAAAUCCGGAAAACCAAGGCUGAGGCGUGAUGACGAGGCACUACGGUGCUGAAGCGACAAAUGCCCUGCUUCCAGGAAAAGCCUCUAAGCAUCAGGUAACAUCAAAUCGUACCCCAAACCGACACAGGUGGUCAGGUAGAGAAUACCAAGGCGCUUGAGAGAACUCGGGUGAAGGAACUAGGCAAAAUGGUGCCGUAACUUCGGGAGAAGGCACGCUGAUAUGUAGGUGAAGCGACUUGCUCGUGGAGCUGAAAUCAGUCGAAGAUACCAGCUGGCUGCAACUGUUUAUUAAAAACACAGCACUGUGCAAACACGAAAGUGGACGUAUACGGUGUGACGCCUGCCCGGUGCCGGAAGGUUAAUUGAUGGGGUUAGCGGUAACGCGAAGCUCUUGAUCGAAGCCCCGGUAAACGGCGGCCGUAACUAUAACGGUCCUAAGGUAGCGAAAUUCCUUGUCGGGUAAGUUCCGACCUGCACGAAUGGCGUAAUGAUGGCCAGGCUGUCUCCACCCGAGACUCAGUGAAAUUGAACUCGCUGUGAAGAUGCAGUGUACCCGCGGCAAGACGGAAAGACCCCGUGAACCUUUACUAUAGCUUGACACUGAACAUUGAGCCUUGAUGUGUAGGAUAGGUGGGAGGCUUUGAAGUGUGGACGCCAGUCUGCAUGGAGCCGACCUUGAAAUACCACCCUUUAAUGUUUGAUGUUCUAACGUUGGCCCGUAAUCCGGGUUGCGGACAGUGUCUGGUGGGUAGUUUGACUGGGGCGGUCUCCUCCUAAAGAGUAACGGAGGAGCACGAAGGUUGGCUAAUCCUGGUCGGACAUCAGGAGGUUAGUGCAAUGGCAUAAGCCAGCUUGACUGCGAGCGUGACGGCGCGAGCAGGUGCGAAAGCAGGUCAUAGUGAUCCGGUGGUUCUGAAUGGAAGGGCCAUCGCUCAACGGAUAAAAGGUACUCCGGGGAUAACAGGCUGAUACCGCCCAAGAGUUCAUAUCGACGGCGGUGUUUGGCACCUCGAUGUCGGCUCAUCACAUCCUGGGGCUGAAGUAGGUCCCAAGGGUAUGGCUGUUCGCCAUUUAAAGUGGUACGCGAGCUGGGUUUAGAACGUCGUGAGACAGUUCGGUCCCUAUCUGCCGUGGGCGCUGGAGAACUGAGGGGGGCUGCUCCUAGUACGAGAGGACCGGAGUGGACGCAUCACUGGUGUUCGGGUUGUCAUGCCAAUGGCACUGCCCGGUAGCUAAAUGCGGAAGAGAUAAGUGCUGAAAGCAUCUAAGCACGAAACUUGCCCCGAGAUGAGUUCUCCCUGACUCCUUGAGAGUCCUGAAGGAACGUUGAAGACGACGACGUUGAUAGGCCGGGUGUGUAAGCGCAGCGAUGCGUUGAGCUAACCGGUACUAAUGAACCGUGAGGCUUAACCUU